CGCAACCUAUAUACGCUUUAUGCGCACGCGCCGCGACAAUUCAUCUGUUUUUAUGUUACGCUUUUAUACUACCAAAAAACUAUGUGAUAAAACUUGGCUGUGAUUGUGAGUGAAAGAAGAUACGAAGCGGUCUCAAUGGAGAGUCCAUGCCACCAUUGGACAAAACGUCCUGGAGAGCUUGCAACCCGCGGGAGUGCGACCAACGCUGCCGUAGGCUGAAGUUCCCUAGUGGAGUCUGUGUCAAAAAUAGAUGCAAAUGCGAUCACUUUUAAAAUCCAUUAUAUAACAAAAUAUAAUAUAAAAUAAUUUUGUAUGGCAGUAAGUACAUGCCAAAUGGCAGUGGCGUGCAUUUCAAAGAUAGGUUAUGACUUGGUGGGAGGCUUUGGCCGUGGCUAGUUACCCCCCUGCCGACAAAGACAUACCGCCAAGCGAUUUAGCGUUCCGGUACGAUGUCGUGUAGAAACCGAAAGGGCUGUGGACUUUCAUCAUCCUCCUAACAAGUCAGCCCGCUUCCAUCUAAGAUUGCACCAUCACUUACUAUCAGGUAAGAUUGUAGGGCUAACUUUUAAGGAAUAAUAAAAAUAGACUAUGCUAAUUAGCAAACCUGUGGUCAGUCGCCGCACUGUCAUCGCGCCGUUGACAACGCCGCUGAAAUCUUUUUUAUGUGCCAGUUGUUCACAUCGAAUGUGGUUACGUAAUCUAUCUUCCUCUUUAUUCCUCUAACAUCAUGACUGCUGCAUAUAGUGCCUUUCCUAAUUCUGAACCCUGUAUUUUACUGUCGAACGGCAUAAGAGUUAUUAUUAUUAAGAAAGAUAUAAUAACACUAUUUUAUUUGUUGUAUUUUUUAUCAUAUAUAACUUACAUGAAAAUUUUACUCACCGCUUAUUUACCUACAAAUGUAUUUUUGUAAUAUUUCUAAAUAAAAUUAAUUAAUAGAGA